rnacentral:rRNA from 1 species
CACGUAGGGGCAAGCGUUGUCCGGAUUCAUUGGGCGUAAAGAGCUCGUAGGCGGUUCGAUAAGUCGGGUGUGAAACCUCCAGGCUCAACCUGGAGACGCCACCCGAUACUGUCGUGACUAGAGUCCAGUAGGGGAGCGUGGAAUCCUGGUGUAGCGGUGAAAUGCGCAGAUAUCAGGAGGAACACCGGUGGCGAAGGCGGGUCUCUGGGCCGAUACUGACGCUGGAGGAGCGAAAGCGUGGGAGCGAACAGG